GAACGGAAAGGCCUGCAGCUUGCUGCGGGUACUCGAGUGGCGAACGGGGGAGUAACCACGUGGGUGAUCUGCCUUGCACUUCGGGAUAAGCUUGGGAAACUGGGUCUAAUACCGGAUAGGACAGCUGUUUAGUGUCAGUUGUGGAAAGUUUUUUCGGUGCAAGAUGAGCUCGCGGCCUAUCAGCUUGUUGGUGGGGUAAUGGCCUACCAGGGCGUCGACGGGUAGCCGGCCUGAGAGGGUGUACGGCCACAUUGGGACUGAGAUACGGCCCAGACUCCUACGGGAGGCAGCAGUGGGGAAUAUUGCACAAUGGGCGGAAGCCUGAUGCAGCGACGCCGCGUGGGGGAUGAAGGCCUUCGGGUUGUAAACUCCUUUCGACAGGGACGAAGCGUAAGUGACGGUACCUGUAUAAGAAGCACCGGCUAACUACGUGCCAGCAGCCGCGGUAAUACGUAGGGUGCGAGCGUUGUCCGGAAUUACUGGGCGUAAAGAGCUCGUAGGUGGUUUGUCGCGUCGUCUGUGAAAUUCCGGGGCUUAACUCCGGGCGUGCAGGCGAUACGGGCUGACUUGAGUGCUGUAGGGGAGACUGGAAUUCCUGGUGUACGGUGAAAUGCGCAGAUAUCCGGAGGAACCACCGAUGGGCAAGGCAGGUCCUCUGGGCAGUACUGACGCUGAAGGAGCGAAAGCAUGGGUACGAACAAGGAUUAGAUACCCUGGUAGUCCAUGCCGGUAAAACGGUGGGGCGCAAAGUGUAAGG
rnacentral:rRNA from 1 species